rnacentral:rRNA from 1 species
GCAGCCGCGGUAAUUCCAGCUCCAAUAGCGUAUAUUAAAGUUGUUGCAGUUAAAAAGCUCGUAGUUGAAUUUCGGGGUUAGUAGGUUGGUCAUGCCUCUGGUAUGUACUGGUCUCACUGAUUCCUCCUUCCUUAUGAACCGUAAUGCCAUUAAUUUGGUGUUGCGGGGAAUUUGGACUGUUACUUUGAAAAAAUUAGAGUGUUUAAAGCAAGCUAACGCUUGAAUACAUUAGCAUGGAAUAAUGAAAUAGGACGUUCGAUCUUAUUUUGUUGGUUUCUAGGAUUGACGUAAUGAUUAAUAGGGAUAGUUGGGGGCAUUAGUAUUCAAUUGUCAGAGGUGAAAUUCUUGGAUUUAUUGAAGACUAACUACUGCGAAAGCAUUUGCCAAGGAUGUUUUCAUUAAUCAAGAACGAAAGUUAGGGGAUCGAAGACGAUCAGAUACCGUCGUAGUCUUAACCAUAAACUAUGCCGACUAGGGAUCGGAUGAUGUUAAUUUUUUAAUGACUCAUUCGGCGCCUUACG